rnacentral:rRNA from 1 species
AGAAUCAACGCUGGCGGCGUGCCUAACACAUGCAAGUCGAACGAGAAAGUGGAGCAAUCCAUGAGUAAAGUGGCGCACGGGUGAGUAACACGUGACUAACCUACCCUUGAGUGGGGGAUAACCUAGGGAAACCUGGGCUAAUACCGCAUAAUACCUUCGGGUCAAAGGAGCAAUUCGCUUAAGGAGGGGGUCGCGGCCGAUUAGUUAGUUGGCGGGGUAAUGGCCCACCAAGACUGUGAUCGGUAUCCGGCCUGAGAGGGCGCACGGACACACUGGAACUGAAACACGGUCCAGACUCCUACGGGAGGCAGCAGUGGGGAAUUUGCGCAAUGGGGGAAACCCUGACGCAGCAACGCCGCGUGGAGGAUGAAGUACUUCGGUACGUAAACUCCUUUCGAUCGGGACGAUAAUGACGGUACCGGAAGAAGAAGCCCGGCUAACUUCGUGCCAGCAGCCGC